GAUGAACGCUGGCGGCGUGCCUAAUACAUGCAAGUCGAGCGAACGGACGAGAAGCUUGCUUCUCUGAUGUUAGCGGCGGACGGGUGAGUAACACGUGGAUAACCUACCUAUAAGACUGGGAUAACUCGGGAAACCGGAGCUAAUACCGGAUAAUAUUUUGAACCGCAUGGUUCAAAAGUGAAAGACGGUCUUGCUGUCACUUAUAGAUGGAUCCGCGCUGCAUUAGCUAGUUGGUAAGGUAACGGCUUACCAAGGCAACGAUGCAUAGCCGACCUGAGAGGGUGAUCGGCCACACUGGAACUGAGACACGGUCCAGACUCCUACGGGAGGCAGCAGUAGGGAAUCUUCCGCAAUGGGCGAAAGCCUGACGGAGCAACGCCGCGUGAGUGAUGAAGGUCUUCGGAUCGUAAAACUCUGUUAUUAGGGAAGAACAUAUGUGUAAGUAACUGUGCACAUCUUGACGGUACCUAAUCAGAAAGCCACGGCUAACUACGUG
rnacentral:rRNA from 1 species